ACCAAAACUUAUCUUGUUCUCCUCCUCUUUUUUAUUUUCUUCCGAACAAAGAUCUUGGAAAUCAAAAUCCUAUGUCCCUCUCCCUCAGCCAAAACUUGUGAACCAAUAUUAUCCUCAGCUAAACCUAGAUCUGUUAAAAUCAAAACUAUCUUUUGUAGACAUAAAUCAAACUCAAUUUGCUAUAAAUCAAAACCCAUCAGAAACCAAACCCAAUUUCACUUACCGAAAUUUCGUUUUAAACAAACUCAAUUUGCUAUAAAUCAAAACCCGGUAGAAAUCAAACCUAAUUUCACUUGCCCAGAUUUCGCUUUAAACCCUAGAUAUGUGAUUUUUGCUUAAAUCAAAUGCGUUUACCGGUGAAACCCUUAUUUCAUUGUAAUUGAUUUUGUGAGUCAAGUUUAUUUAGCAUAGUUGAAUACCAACCUCAAUGAAAAUUCUCUGAUCAGAAAUUUAUUUAUGUGAAUCUUAUUUUACAUCACCAAAAAUAUGAAGAAGGUACAGUUUGUAUGUGGUGUUCUGGUAGAUGCGAGCUGAGAAUAGAGAAAGAAGAGGGGGAUCGAAUUUGAUUGGUGGUAGUUGCUUCAGAUGGUGGAGUUCAGGAGUGAUUGCAAUGGUUUGCAGGUGAGGAAUGGUAGAGAUAAUGCAUAGAACUGCUGGUGUUUGGAGCAACAGAAAAUGAAAUGGGUUUUGCAGUUCUAGUCUGAAGUUGAAGUUGCAGGUUCAGGAGAUGGAUUUGGUUACUGCUAAUGGAUGGAGGAGAUAUGUACUGAAAUGGCAGUUUCUGGUGGUUAUGUUGGUGAUUGUUUCUUGAGGAAUCUGAGAUGGAGAUGGAACUGCUAGUGUUGAUGAGAUGGUUUGUUUUUGAGUCUGUAUGUGGAUAAAAUGCAGAAAAACAGUGGGUUAUAUUUUUGCUGAUGCAUAGAACUUGUGCUGAUGCAGUGGAUGUAUGAGAUGGAGAUGGUUGAGCAGCAGAGAGGCCUUGAAAUGUGCUGUGCUUGAAUCUUGUUGUUAUCAACAGAAUGGACUGUCUUGGUGAUGUGUAAACAAGGAAGAAGAACAAAUAUGGUGUUGCAGUUGAAUGAAUGGGUUAAGUUGAUGUUGAGGAAUGAGCUGAAUUGCAGAUGGUUAAUGUUUGGUAUUGCAGGAAUGGAGUUGUGUGGUUCAAUGGCCUUGUACUUCGCAGAAGAAAUUUCAGGAGCUGGAUGCUAGGGUCAGGAAGCUACAGCAAGUGUAGAUGAUGUUGCAGAACAAGAAAUUGUGAUGGACUCCAUAGCUAGUUCACAGAUAUUUACAAUGUCUUUUGAUGGAAACAGGUAGCUCUAUGACAUAGUGCUACAUCAUUGAGCAUGCUUGAUUAUAAAUGAUAAUCUGGUUUAACCCAGUAUGACAUAUAUGAAGCUUAUGGGCUUAGCUGGAAGCAUCCCCCUGCACGUGGAUGGCAAUGGACAUUAUAUUCUCUGGUGGAGAAGUUGAAGGAUUUGUGCUUGAAUCAAAGGGAAGAGAUAAAAGCAUUAAAAACUGCUAUUUUGUUCCCUGAUGUUGUGAAUUCGCAACUUCAAGAUAUUUUAGACAAGCAAGGAUCGGAGUUGAAACAGGCAAAACAAGUUAUUCCCACUUUACAGCGACAGGUUACAUCUCUUACAGGCCAAUUGCAAUAUCUUGCAAAUGGUCUGGCUGAGGUCAAGGUAGACAAAUACUCUGUCAGGGGAUGUUACGAAGGCAAUCUAAGUUCUCCUAGAACACCAGCAUUUGAUCUAGACGCCACCAAUUCUUUGUAGUGCCCUCCGCUGAAGAUCAAUCACUUGCUGACGAGUAUUCCAGAAGUGCUCAAUACCUUGCGUAUUUUGGUGGAAAAGUUGGGUUACGGUAUGAUGAGAGUUAUGCUCGUGGUGGGAUCUGCUACUUAAACAGGUGAUAUUUUUUAUGUUCUACUUGUGUUUAUGUGAUUUUUUGUUAGUUCAGUUCUGUUAAAUCAUUGUACUUGAACACUUAUGGGUUUGUCAGUUCUGUUGAAUCAUGUUCCGGAAUGGAAUUUCAUUGUAUUUUUUUCAAACUUAGUUUAUAUUGUUGUAAGGAUUAGUGAUUAUCUGACCAAAUUGGGUCUUUUAGUUGAUCUACAAUGGUAUAUGAAGGUGCAGAAAUCUGCCGGAAUAAUCGUCGGAAUUUAUUUA